UACAGAGGUGGCAAGCGUUGUUCGGAAUUACUGGGCGUAAAGGGCGCGUAGGCGGCCUUCUAAGUCAGACGUGAAAUCCCCCGGCUUAACCUGGGAACUGCGUCUGAUACUGGGAGGCUUGAGUAUGGGAGAGGGAUGUAGAAUUCCAGGUGUAGCGGUGAAAUGCGUAGAUAUCUGAAGGAACAUCAGUGGCGAAAGCGACUUCCUGGACCAAUACUGACGCUCAUGUGCGAAAGCGUGGGGAGCAAACAGG
rnacentral:rRNA from 1 species